AUUAUUUUGGCAGAUUAGUGCGGGGGAUUUAGGAUCUUUAAAUGUACAUAAUUUUUUAUUAUUACAAGUAAUA
rnacentral:tRNA from 1 species